UACAGAGGGUGCGAGCGUUAAUCGGAAUUACUGGGCGUAAAGCGUGCGCAGGCGGUUCUAUAAGACAGAUGUGAAAUCCCCGGGCUCAACCUGGGAACUGCAUUUGUGACUGUAGAGCUGGAGUACGGUAGAGGGGGAUGGAAUUCCGCGUGUAGCAGUGAAAUGCGUAGAUAUGCGGAGGAACACCGAUGGCGAAGGCAAUCCCCUGGACCUGUACUGACGCUCAUGCACGAAAGCGUGGGGAGCAAACAGG
rnacentral:rRNA from 1 species